rnacentral:rRNA from 1 species
UACGUAGGCAGCAAGCGUUGUUCGGAGUUACUGGGCGUAAAGGGUGCGUAGGCGGCUUCUUAAGUCUGGUGUGAAAUCUCCCGGCUCAACUGGGAGGGUGCGCCGGAUACUGAGGGGCUAGAGUGUGGGAGAGGAAAGUGGAAUUCCUGGUGUAGCGGUGAAAUGCGUAGAUAUCAGGAGGAACACCGGUGGCGAAGGCGGGUCUCUGGGCCGAUACUGACGCUGAGGAGCGAAAGCGUGGGGAGCGAACAGG